rnacentral:rRNA from 1 species
GGGCUAGCGUUGCUCGGAAUGACUGGGCGUAAAGGACGCGUAGGCGGAUUGUACAGUCAGACGUGAAAUUCCUGGGCUCAACCUGGGGACUGCGUUUGAGACGUGCAGUCUUGAGUGAGGAAGAGGGUUGUGGAAUUCCCAGUGUAGAGGUGAAAUUCGUAGAUAUUGGGAAGAACACCGGUGGCGAAGGCGGCAACCUGGUCCUUGACUGACGCUGAGGCGCGAAAGCGUGGGGAGCAAACAGGAUUAGAUACCCUGGUAGUCCACGCUGUAAACGAUGUGUGCUGGAUGUUGGGUGACUUAGUCACUCAGUGUCGUAGCUAACGCGAUAAGCACACCGCCUGGGGAGUCCGGCCGCAAGGUUGAAACUCAAAGGAAUUGACGGGGGCCCGCACAAGCGGUGGAGCAUGUGGUUUAAUG